rnacentral:ncRNA from 2 species
AUAUAAUGACAGGGGUGGUGAAACGCCUGAGAUUAUACCCUUUGAACCUGAUCCGGGUAAUGCCGGCGGAGGGAGCGCGUGAAACACUUUUC